ACGGGGGGGGCAAGCGUUGUUCGGAAUUACUGGGCGUAAAGGGCGCGUAGGCGGUUCGCUAAGUCGAAUGUGAAAACUCUGGGCUUAACCCAGAGCCUGCAUUCAAUACUGGCGGGCUAGAGUUCUGGAGGGGAUAGCGGAAUUCCUGGUGUAGCGGUGAAAUGCGUAGAUAUCAGGAGGAAUACCGGUGGCGAAGGCGGCAUCCUGGACCGACAUUGACGCUGAGGAGCGAAAGCUAGGGGAGCAAACGGGA
rnacentral:rRNA from 1 species